GUUGCCUUUUCCAUCACAUAAGGACACAGUGAGAAGAUGCCAUCUAUGAAUAUGAAAUCAGUCCUCACCAGACAGUGAAUCUUCCAGCCCCUAGAUCUUGGAAUUCCCACCCUCUAGAACGGACUUUUCUUCAUCAUGUGAAGAAGCCAACACAGACAUCAACUCUUGCAGAAAUAUUUACAUUCCAGGAUGGGUGGAAUAUUCAUCCUCUAAGACACUCUCCUUACUGCUCAUUUCACUUCUGGGUUCACAGAUGUCUUGAGCCUCUCACUGUAGCUCAGGGCACCGGGCAGGGACCCACAGUGAACAGGAAGCCAUUUCAUCACAGGGCACACUCACACACACCCCUACCCCCGCUCAAACUGGGACACAAAAAUUCACCUAAUGUGCACAUCUUUGGGAUGUGGGCAGAAAUGAGAGUACCUGGAGAAAACACACACAAACAUGGGAAGAAUAUAGAAACUCCAUAGAGGAAGUGGCCCCAGCCGUUUUUCUGAUCGUUAUAAUAAAACAAUGUUGAACGAAAUAACAUCAUUUGAGGGCCUGCUGUAGUCCUAUUCUGAAUUUCUAAUGGUGUUUUAAAGUGAUUAUUGAUUGAUUUGAUUCUUAUCUCACCUUAUUAAGGAUCUCAAGAAUUGGCAUAUUGGCUGGGGGCAGUGGCUCAUGCCUGUAAUCCCAGCGCUUUGGGAGGCUGAGGUGGGCAGAUCACCUGAGGUCAGGAGUUCGAGACCAACCUGGCUAACAUGGUGAAACCCCAUCUCCACCAAAAAUACAGAAACUAGUCAGGCAUGGUGGCAUGUGCCUGUAAUCCCAGCUACUCGGGAGGCUGAGGCACGAGAAUCCCUUGAGCCUGGGAGGCGGAGGUUGCAAUGAACUGAGAUGGCGCCACUGCGCUCUAGCCUGGGUGACAGAGAGAGACUCCAUAAAAAAAAAAAAAAAAAAAAGAAUUGGCAUGUUUAUUCCCUUGGGUGUUUAUUCUAGGGAAAACUGUUGAGUAGGCAAUACCAGCAUUUGGUGUCAUCAAUUACAGCGUCUCACGAAAGUCUUUCAUGUACCCAAUAGUCUCAAGCUCAUUUCACAUAUUUUUAAAAGCUAUUUUAAGAAAAAAAUAAUAAUAUACAAUCACUUAUAAUCUCAUGUAAUUUUAAAUCAAUUUUUAGUGAGCAUUAAUCCUUCUUUCUGAUUGUGGAAUAUAUUCCUCCUUUUCCCCUCUCCUUUCUUCCUACUAUCAUUCGUUCCUUAUUUCCUGUCUUUUAAUUCUCUACCCUUACCUCCUGUCUUUCCCUCUUUCCUUUAAAUUAAAUAGAUGAAUAUAUUAAAGCGAUAUUACAAUGAAAAAAGAGCCCUCUGGAACCUGUGAAAUCACAUCCAAACCUGAUAUUAAAAUGUAUGCUUCCCAUCAAAUACAUGUUUAGUCACCUUAAUAUCAGUCUUCCUUAUAUGCAGACAGCCAUGUGUCACUUAAAGAUAGGGAUACAUUCUGAAAAAUGCAUUGUAAAGCAAUUUCUUUGUUUGUCAACUUCACAGAGUGCGUUUACACAAACCUAGAUGGUAUAGCCUGCUACACACUUUGACUAUGUGGUAUAGACUAUUGCUUCUAGGCUACAAACCAGUGCAACAUGUACUGUACUGUACUGUAGGCAGUUGGAACACAAGGGUAGGUAUUUGUCCAUCUGAACAUAUCUAAACAUAGAAUAGAUAGAGUAGAGAUAUGGUAUUGUAAUUUUAUGGAACCACUGUAGUACAUGUGGUUUGUCAUUGACUGAAACAUUGUUAUAUGGUGCAUGGCUAUUUCUUUAGGAGAGAUUCCAGUACUGACAGUUUAAAAGGCCAAAACUUGUUUUGAGAAAACCUAUAUAGUUUUGGUUGUUGUGGCCUAGAAAUUGUCUUGAAACUAAAUAACAUUUUAAUUAUCCCACGCCUUCAACUAACAUAAGGUUGAGUCAAAGUUAAUUAAUAGAUUGAAGGUUGUUUGCCUCAGGAUAGCAUUUAGAAGACAUGUGUUAAUUCCUUAGUUGAAUUUCUGACUUGAAGCACAAAAUAAAUAAUAAGCAUUAUUUCAAGAAAAGAUACUUUUCUAUCUUCCAUUAAGCUUUGCAAAAAAGGUA
rnacentral:lncRNA from 10 species